ACCUUUCAAAUAUUUGAUUGCUUGUAAGUAGCAUCAUUCUCAGCUUCUUUCUUUAUAGUACUUUUAUGACCAUCGAUCACUAAUCUUACACUCGAAUCUUUAAACUCAACUAUUGCUACAAAAAUUGAUAAAUGAUCUAGUCCAGAUUUUUCACAUGUAUAUCUUGCUGGUGAUAAAUUCAAUUUUUUAAAUAUCUCCUUGAGCAUCAGUUUCAAUGGUGCAACCAC
rnacentral:lncRNA from 1 species